rnacentral:rRNA from 1 species
CCUACGGGAGGCAGCAGUCGAGAAUCAUUCACAAUGGGGGAAACCCUGAUGGUGCGACGCCGCGUGGGGGAAUGAAGGUCUUCGGAUUGUAAACCCCUGUCAUGUGGGAGCAAAUUAAAAAGAUAGUACCACAAGAGGAAGAGACGGCUAACUCUGUGCCAGCAGCCGCGGUAAUACAGAGGUCUCAAGCGUUGUUCGGAAUCACUGGGCGUAAAGGGUGCGUAGGCUGUUUCGUAAGUCGUGUGUGAAAGGCGCGGGCUCAACCCGCGGACGGCACAUGAUACUGCGAGACUAGAGUAAUGGAGGGGGAACCGGAAUUCUCGGUGUAGCAGUGAAAUGCGUAGAUAUCGAGAGGAACACUCGUGGCGAAGGCGGGUUCCUGGACAUUAACUGACGCUGAGGCACGAAGGCCAGGGGAGCGAAAGGGAUUAGAUACCCUAGUAGUC